rnacentral:rRNA from 1 species
UACGGAGGAUCCAAGCGUUAUCCGGAAUCAUUGGGUUUAAAGGGUCCGUAGGCGGUUUGGUAAGUCAGUGGUGAAAGCCCAUCGCUCAACGGUGGAACGGCCAUUGAUACUGCCAGACUUGAAUUAUUAAGAAGUAACUAGAAUAUGUAGUGUAGCGGUGAAAUGCUUAGAGAUUACAUGGAAUACCAAUUGCGAAGGCAGGUUACUACUAAUGGAUUGACGCUGAUGGACGAAAGCGUGGGUAGCGAACAGG